UCUCCCGGUCUCGCGUCGUUACCGCUGCGUGAAGCGGUAAGUCGCGCGCGGGUCGGCGAUUCACUCUGGGGGUCUCCGCCGCUGAGCCCUCCUGAAAGACUGACUGGCGGAAACUGGGACUGGAGUGUGAGCAUCUGAGGGGCUCUCCAGUGGGGCUUGGAGAGGAAUGUCUCAAAUGACUUUUCUUGAAAGCUGAGGGUGGCAUCUUCUGAUCAAUCAUGUCAUCAAUUGCUAGAAAUAUGAGGACUCUCCAGAAGAUCAAGUACCGUGUAGUAGUUACCAUGCACAGGCCCCAUAGAGCCCUGGCCUUGGAGAAUGCCCUAUUCACCAACCCAAAAGAAGGUCCCACGUGACAAAGUUUGGAUUAGACAUUACAAAUGGCUUCCAAUGGACUACUUGCCAGACUUUGUCAUGGGAACCAUCUGAUGAGCAGAACAAAGCGCAAGUGCAUAAGCAACUUCCAAUGAGAACCUCUGUAUGGGCUUGGCCCAGGGAUCUUGAAACCCUGGGAAGACCUAAAUAUAAACAAAAUUUUGCAAAGGAGAAGGGAAUCAUGAACAAAUCACCUUUCUAUAAGACACCACAAACGAUGACUGGAGAUCUGAAUUGGAAAUGUAUCUCUGUCAGGAAUCUUCCUCUGACUACAAGCUUCAAGGACAGGAACAUCAACCUUCUCUCUAUCCUCUCCUUCCUAUUCUGCAAGAGGAGACAGUACUCUAAUUGCAGGCAGAGAUCCACAUUUACGGCCACUGCAGCCUUGUGACCCAAGGCUCUGGAAUGGAUCAGCCCUCCUACUCACUCCCUCCUGCACACACCGUGUCUCCAUGGAAACAGCUUGUCAGGCCCUGUUUGGCUGCAGGUUCUGAAGACCUCUCAUCUGCAGCCCCAGUCCUGCACAGAUUCAGUCUUAAUAAGCCAGGCUUCUAAGGAGGAACUUGUACUAGGAGGCCCAUCCUCUCUAGCUGGUGGGGUCUGGAAUUGUCCUUAAGUCUCCUUUGGAGUAUACGUGGGGAGUCCUGAAUGCUACUGAGUUGCCCUGACCUUCCAACACUGAUAUUCAGGUCAAUGGCAGGGUUUCCAUCCUGGGUUUCUGCUUCAACCUGAACUCAUCAUCUCCUUCUAGCAAGCCUUCUGCUCCCAUCAUCUCUCCCCACCCACUAAAGGUGAAAGUCAUUCUGAGCUCUACAGGCCCCACCUGUGGCUAAUCACCAAGAGUCUUCUGUUGUUGGGCAUCAUUCAUCCAUCAGAUCGGAUCAGGCAUUUGCUACACUGCCAGGACACUGCGACUUGGACUGCUGGCCACUGUCCUUGGGGGUACAUCUACAAAUGGUUAACAUUGGAAGUAAAGAGGGCAGCGUGAUGCUGUGAGGAUGACCCUCCAUGUGUGAAAAUAACUGAGCAACGAGCAGAGCAGCUGUCUCAUCAUUGUCCCUAUCACUGGGAUUUCUUCAGGUGACCAAUAGAUAAGUCCAAUCCUACUUACAAGAGCUGCAAGCAAAGAAUGGAAAUUUCCAAUUGCAGCAUCAAGGGCUGCUGUUCUGCUGACUGUCUUGCUCAGUCGGGGUCAUCUGUUUCUCUAAGACAUCAAGGAAUGCCAAGAUCCUCGAUUGCUCUUGGGAACAAGUAUACUGCUGUGGCAUGAAGUGGAAGGUAUAAUUUGGAGCCAGAUGAGAGAAAGAAGACUCCUUUCAGA